rnacentral:rRNA from 1 species
CUCUCGCCGGACCUGACUGCUAUCGGAUUGAUACUAAGCCAUGUGAGUCAUUGUAGCAAUACAAGGCAGACGGCUCCCUAACACGUAGCCAAUCUACCCUAUGGACGGGGAUAACCUCGGGAAACUGAGGAUAAACCCCGAUAGAUCAUUAUGCCUGGAAUGGUUAAUGGUUCAAAUGAUUCGUCGCCGUAGGAUGGGACUGCGGCCUAUCAGCUUGUUGGUGAGGUAAUGGCCCACCAAGGCUAUUACAGGUACGGGCUCUGAGAGGAGAAGCCCGGAGAUGGGUACUGAGACACGGACCCAGGCCCUAUGGGGCGCAGCAGGCGAGAAACCUUUGCAAUGUGCGCAAGCACGACAAGGUUAAUCCGAGUGUUUCCUGCUAAAGGAAUCUUUUGUUAGUCCUAAAAACACUAGCGAAUAAGGGGUGGGCAAGUUCUGGUGU